rnacentral:ncRNA from 2 species
GGAAUUAAAAGCGGCGGCUGUUUUUUUGUAAGAUAGUCAUAUAGCAGAGGAACCCGGUGCGAUCCCGGGGCUGCCCCGCAACGGUAAUGCCGCAAGGCUAGCCCGGUCUACUGCGAACCGUUUAAUCGC